UACGUAGGGUGCGAGCGUUGCCCGGAUUUAUUGGGCGUAAAGAGCUCGUAGGCGGUUUGUCGCGUCGGCCGUGAAAUCUCCACGCUUAACGUGGAGUGUGCGGUCGAUACGGGCAGACUUGAGUUCGGUAGGGGAGACUGGAAUUCCUGGUGUAGCGGUGAAAUGCGCAGAUAUCAGGAGGAACACCGGUGGCGAAGGCGGGUCUCUGGGCCGAUACUGACGCUGAGGAGCGAAAGCGUGGGGAGCGAACAGG
rnacentral:rRNA from 1 species